AGUGGGCCUAAAAGCAGCCAUCUUUAAAAUUGCGUCAAAGCUUAAUUGUUCUCGCGCUUAAUCACCAGAUUUUAAUCUUAAUCCCUAAUCAAUACUGAGUAAUUCUAUAAAACUAUAGAAAAUUUUAUGUUAAAACUAGUAACAAGAAGAGGACUCUUCUCUUAAAUGUAAGUGUACAUCAGAAAGGACAAACCACUGAUACUUAACAUCCAUGAGUCUAGAGUAGUAACCAACCAAGAAAACUCUACUUCCACCUAUGUUAACCUAACACAAGAACAUUCAAAGAAAGAUUAAAAGAAAAAGAAGGAACUCGGCAAAUAUUAACCUCGCCUGUUUACCAAAAACAUCGCCUCUUGAAUUUUAUAAGAGGUCCAGCCUGCCCAGUGACUCUGUUCAACGGCCGCGGUAUCCUAACCGUGCGAAGGUAGCGUAAUCACUUGUUCUUUAAAUGUGGACUAGUAUGAAUGGCACCACGAAGGUUAUACUGUCUCCUUUUUCUAAUCAGUGAAACUAAUCUCCCCGUGAAGAAGCGGGGAUAAAGCUAUAAGACGAGAAGACCCUAUGGAGCUUUAAACAACAUAGCACUUGCCACACACCAUUAAAAUUCCAGAAUCUUAAACUCUCUGAGCAAUAUGACUAUAAGUUUUUGGUUGGGGUGACCGCGGAGCAUAACACAACCUCCAUGUUGAAAGAAUCAUUUUCUAAGCUAAGAACUACAACUCUAAGCAUCAACAUAUUGACAUCCAUUGACCCAAUACACUUGAACAACGAACCAAGUUACCCUAGGGAUAACAGCGCAAUCCACUUCAAGAGCUCCUAUCGACAAGUGGGUUUACGACCUCGAUGUUGGAUCAGGGUUUCCCAGUGGUGCAGCCGCUACUAAAGGUUCGUUUGUUCAACGAUUAAAACCCUACGUGAUCUGAGUUCAGACCGGAG
rnacentral:rRNA from 1 species